rnacentral:misc_RNA from 1 species
GGCAAUGGAAUUGUGUUAACAAAUUCUUUGUGUAAAGCAGGCGAUUUACAGGAUAAUCAUCUGUCUUUUGCAGUAGGAUUAGUUCAGGAGGCUGUUAAAUUGGUUAAUGACAGUUAUAUGAGAUCGGCUAUAGACUACUUUGAAGUUACAAGAGCUAGACCUUCUCUGGCUGCAACUCUUUUAAUCACGACUUGGUCUAGGCUAUCCUUCCACACAACAGACUUCGGCUACGGGGAGCCUAUUU